ensembl:lncRNA
CCUGGGUUAAGAAGAUCCCCUAGCGGUGGGCAUGGCAAUGGCAAUUCUCACCUGGAGAAUCCCCAUGGACAGAGGAGCCUGGCAGUCUAUAGUUCAUGGGAUCACAAAGAGUCAGACACGGCUGAGCAACUAAGCACAGCACAGCACACCAUUGAGGAAGCAAUUAUCAUUGUCCAGAGAGAGAUGAAGGAAUUCAAAACAGAAAUUUCCAAUAAAUGUGGGUGAUUUUUUACAACGAAAAAGAGUUAUUGUGUGAGGGGAAAUAAUCAGGGCAUCCAAAACACAAAACUGCUGGAUAAUUGAUGAACAGAACACUUAAGGCUUGAUCCCAAGUUUCCACGUUAGAGGCUAUGUUUGGCAGCCUGUGAAAUGAGCCCCAGUGAUCCUCAUUGGCAGUCUCCGUGGGGUGAACCACCUCUCCCGUCAUGAAACAACCGUGGUGGAAUGUUGUCCGCAAAGACGGGUGGAAGCCACAGCUGCUUGAGUGAACUGGCAGGUGGAUCCCGUUGUAGUUGGAUCUGGAUAUGACUGGAGCUGGGCCAACACCUUGACCACAGCCCACGGCAAUGCUGAGCCAGGAGGGACCCAACCAAGCCGCAUCAGGUUCCCGACUGCAGUGUGAGUGGAAUGAAAGCUCUUUGACUGCAGAGAGGUUCGCUUCUUCAGUAAUGCAUCAACUACCCAAAGGGCUUCCCAGGUGGCUCUAGUGGUAAAAAAAAAAACCUACCUCCUAAUGCAGGUGACCUAAGAGACCUGGGUUCAGUCCCUGGAUCAGGAAGAUUCCCUGGAGGAGAGCAUUUCAGCCCACUCCAGUAUUCUUGCCUGAAGAAUCCCAUGGACAGAGGAGCCUGAAGGGCUACAGUUCACAAAGUUGCAAGAGUCGGACACGACCGAGAGACUAAGCACACACAGACACGUACGCACAAUUACCCGAAACAGCGCUGAGUGCAGAGCGGGAGAUGAAGAAAGCUUUGGCUGAGCAACUGAACAAGUGAAUGAGUAAAUAAAUGCAUAUUUUCAAGUGGUUUUGUCCCACAGCACCUACCACAGCGUCUGACAUGGAGAAAACACCAAUCAAACGUUACUAUCCUUAAGCAAUUUGCUCAGAGUAAAUUCUGAGGUUAUUGGAUCACCAAAUCCAUUCACAAGCACGUGGAUAGACAGUCCUAUGUAAUGUUCUAUAUGAAUCCUGAAAAUGAUUGGGUAGCAACAACAAAACUUGAUGUGAG